UGAACGCUAGCUACAGGCUUAACACAUGCAAGUCGAGGGGCAGCAUGGUCUUAGCUUGCUAAGACUGAUGGCGACCGGCGCACGGGUGAGUAACACGUAUCCAACCUGCCGUCUACUCUUGGACAGCCUUCUGAAAGGAAGAUUAAUACAAGAUGGCAUCAUGAGUCCGCAUGUUCACAUGAUUAAAGGUAUUCCGGUAGACGAUGGGGAUGCGUUCCAUUAGAUAGUAGGCGGGGUAACGGCCCACCUAGUCUUCGAUGGAUAGGGGUUCUGAGAGGAAGGUCCCCCACAUUGGAACUGAGACACGGUCCAAACUCCUACGGGAGGCAGCAGUGAGGAAUAUUGGUCAAUGGGCGAGAGCCUGAACCAGCCAAGUAGCGUGAAGGAUGACUGCCCUAUGGGUUGUAAACUUCUUUUAUAAAGGAAUAAAGUCGGGUAUGCAUACCCGUUUGCAUGUACUUUAUGAAUAAGGAUCGGCUAACUCCGUGCCAGCAGCCGCGGUAAUACGGAGGAUCCGAGCGUUAUCCGGAUUUAUUGGGUUUAAAGGGAGCGUAGAUGGAUGUUUAAGUCAGUUGUGAAAGUUUGCGGCUCAACCGUAAAAUUGCAGUUGAUACUGGAUAUCUUGAGUGCAGUUGAGGCAGGCGGAAUUCGUGGUGUAGCGGUGAAAUGCUUAGAUAUCACGAAGAACUCCGAUUGCGAAGGCAGCCUGCUAAGCUGCAACUGACAUUGAGGCUCGAAAGUGUGGGUAUCAAACAGGAUUAGAUACCCUGGUAGUCCACACGGUAAACGAUGAAUACUCGCUGUUUGCGAUAUACGGCAAGCGGCCAAGCGAAAGCGUUAAGUAUUCCACCUGGGGAGUACGCCGGCAACGGUGAAACUCAAAGGAAUUGACGGGGGCCCGCACAAGCGGAGGAACAUGUGGUUUAAUUCGAUGAUACGCGAGGAACCUUACCCGGGCUUAAAUUGCAGAUGAAUUACGGUGAAAGCCGUAAGCCGCAAGGCAUCUGUGAAGGUGCUGCAUGGUUGUCGUCAGCUCGUGCCGUGAGGUGUCGGCUUAAGUGCCAUAACGAGCGCAACCCUUGUUGUCAGUUACUAACAGGUUCCGCUGAGGACUCUGACAAGACUGCCAUCGUAAGAUGUGAGGAAGGUGGGGAUGACGUCAAAUCAGCACGGCCCUUACGUCCGGGGCUACACACGUGUUACAAUGGGGGGUACAGAGGGCCGCUACCACGCGAGUGGAUGCCAAUCCCAAAAACCUCUCUCAGUUCGGACUGGAGUCUGCAACCCGACUCCACGAAGCUGGAUUCGCUAGUGAUCGCGCAUCAGCCACGGCGCGGUGAAUACGUUCCCGGGCCUUGUACACACCGCCCGUCAAGCCAUGGGAGCCGGGGGUACCUGAAGUGCGUAACCGCGAGGAGCGCCCUAGGGUAAAACUGGUGACUGGGGC
rnacentral:rRNA from 1 species